UACGUAGGGGGCGAGCGUUGUCCGGAAUUACUGGGCGUAAAGCGCCUGUAGGCGGGAACGUGCGUCGGACGUGAAAGGCGGGGGCUUAACCCCCGAGCGGCGUUCGAAACGGCGUUUCUUGAGGGUCGAAGAGGAGCGUGGAAUUCCCGGUGUAGCGGUGAAAUGCGUAGAGAUCGAGAGGAACACCAGUGGCGAAGGCGAGUCCCUGGACAACACCUGACACUGAGGCACGAAAGCUAGGGGAGCAAACAGG
rnacentral:rRNA from 1 species